CUGCUGUUACCAUUUUUAUACAAAAGUUUUUCCAGUGUGUUUAUGUUUGGUGUUCUACCGUUCCAUAAAUUUAAUUUUUGCACGUUAUUGAUUAUUAAUUUGAUAAAAAAUUGAGAUUGAAGAGCUGAAAAGUACUGUCAAAACUAAGAAUAUCAUCUCAUAGUGACUUAUAAAAGAUUAGGUCUUGAGAUGAAAAUGGAAUUGCGUUUCAAAUGGCAUGCGGCUUGUUUGGUCAAGAAAAGGCAACGUAGGUAAGAACCGGUAGGCCUACAAUUUUCAAUAAUUCCGUAUAAUUUUAAUUCAUUCUCAUCCCAAAAUUAAAUUUGAUGUGAUUUUGGGGGCACUUAGUAGUAUUUGGGUCACUGAAUCUAUUAUAGCAUUGAGGCCUAUCUACAGAGGAGGCUAAGACGAGUUCAAGCAUGCUGCAUGCAUUGUUGUCGACAUGAUAAAGUCUUAUAAAAUGGCGGACAGAGCAAUUACUAUGGCGGGCCAACCAGGAACGGAGAGAAAGCUAUAGCUGAGGAGCUGAGAAGCAAGGCAAAGAUUACAGUUCCAAGUACUUACAUCUUCCUCAUUGACGGCGUUUGAAACGAUGGCUCAGAAACUUUGCCAAACUCAGAUGACUCAAUCUCUGAGCUGGAGGACCCAAUAAUCCUCCAAGGAAGGGUAUAUAAAUACAAAUCCUGCACCAACAAUAAUUAUUGCAAACUAUCGAAAUCAUCUUAAUUACCGUCAACUCGAUUACUCUCAAGACUGAGAAGAAAUGUUGAUAGAUAAGUCAUUUUAAAGAUUGACUAGGCUACACAUCGUUGGCUGCACUAGUAUCAAGAGGAAGGUGACAAUUAAUAAAUUGCUGACUCGCGUUGAAGACAAGGAUAUGGACCAGGAUAAAGACAAGGAUGUUGAUGAUUUAGUGACGUCACAGGAGAAUGCUAGUCAUGAGAAAUCAAUCACAGCGAUCAUGGAACUCUAUGUAGAGUAUCCAGUGUCUCACAGUCUUCUCUACCUCCAUGAUCUGCCUCUAAGGAUCACUCAGCUGCAAAAUCUGGAUCUCCAGUUUCAUCGAGUGCUUCAUCUCAGGUUGGAUUAGCCUCUAAGGAUCACUCAGCUGCAAAAUCAGGAUCUCCAGUUUCAUCGAGUGUUUCAUCUCAGGUUGGAUUAGCCUCCAAGGAUCACUCAGCUGCAAAGUCAGGAUCUCCAGUUUCAUCGAGUGCUUCAUCUCAGGUUGGAUUAGCCUCCAAGGAUCACUCAGCUGCAAAGUCAGGAUCUCCAGUUUCAUCGAGUGCUUCAUCUCAGGUUGGAUUAGCCUCUAAGGAUCACUCAGCUGCAAAAUCAGGAUCUCCAGUUUCAUCGAGUGCUUCAUCUCAGGUUGGAUUAGAUAUAGAAUAAUAACGGGUGUUUCACGACCGACGCAACUCAAAAUUUAGUAGUAAUAGAUGAUAAAUUUUAGGUCCAAAAAAGUAAAUUAGAGGCCAAAUGAAAAUGUUAUUAAAGAGAGCUAGUCAUACAUUAGUGAUGUUGUUUCAGCUAUCGUUUUGUUACUUUGUAUUUUCAUCAAGGAUGAACCCUUGUUUACUUUAGAGACUUUAUAUUGUUUGUAAAUCUUGACAAAUCUGGGCAAAAUAAGUUAUGAAUAGAGUUUCCGCAUACUGUAGUUCCUGAUUAGUCGACAAUAAUGCGGUUGAUCAAUACAUCUUUUUCAAGUGGUAGUGUGCUAGUGAUAAGAAGCCUGCCACAAAGUGGCACCUCAACAGAUUCGCUUAGAAAGAAGGUUAUCACAAUCUGGCUACUACUGUAAUGAAAAAUCAAUUUAUACCCUUAUGUAGUGCACUAAAUUUUGUCAUUCAACUUCUGAUUGUGUCCAUCGUGAAACACCAUUUAGAAAAUAGUUAUUCAUCGACUCGUGUUCUCUAAUUUCAGCAUUUUAAAUGUGGUGUAAAUCAAUUUUUCUAUUUAAAUAUUACUCUGAAUUCACAUUUUAUUUUAUUUAUGAUGGUAUACUCUCUUGGCUGGAAAUAUUUCAUAAUACUUUGUAUAGAUCUACACUUACUGAUUGCUAAUAAUACAGGGUCUGUAUAAUAAGUAACCGGACUGAACUCAGGAAUUUUUUUAUUGGCAAAAUAUGUACAAUUUUACUUUAGAAAUCUUCAAAGUAGUCCCCAGUGGAGUCGAUAACACGCUGAUACCGGAUUUUCCAAUCCCUGGACGCUCCCUGGAAGUUGGCAAACUCUGUGCUGUCUAGAGCCCUCGUCGUAGCACGUUGAACGUUUUCCAGAGUCCCGAACCGCGUCCCCUUAAGUUGUCUCUUGAUCUUGGGGAACAAAAAGAAGUCUGGUGGUGCCAUAUCCGGGCUGUAAGGAGGAUGUGGCAACGUUACCCUCGACUGUUUGGCCAACUGCUCGGUGACGAGCAGGCAGGUGUGCGACGGAGCAUUGUCGUGAUGGAGGAUCCACGAAUCGGCAAUCCCCGGACGGACUCGAUGAACCCUGGCGGUUAGUCGACGGAGCACGUCUCUGUAGUACUGGCCACUCACAAAGAGUUUGUGCCACCCGGCCGAACUGUAUGUAAACCGUCCGUUAUAAUUAUAUAAAAUAGGCGAACAUGUUUGUUGUGAUUAAACCGUCCAACAAUACCGUAUUCAUAUAUAAUUAUACUGAAAUCCACUUACCAAGCUAUCCUCAUUUGGAUUGAAUUGAAAAAAUCUUUAUUCAUAAACAGGUAUAUUAGGAACAGCGUCAAUAUACAAACAAACAUAAACAUAAAAAGUACUAGAAGUAGUAAAAAGUAGUAACAGUCUUAAACCUCCUAUGUAAAUAACAGAAAUCGAUAAACAACAAUCACAAACCCACAGUGCGAUCUGCAAACUCCUGCAGGGAGUACAGACUCAAUGACAUUAAAAACUCCUUGAGAUUUAUGUUCUCUAUUGCCUGUAAUUCCAAAGGUAGCAUUGUGAAGUAAUUCCUUCCUAUGUAGUGCGUCUUUUUCUUAAAAAAUUCUAACCUGUGUCUUUCAGUUAUCCUUCCAAAUCUAGUAUUGUAGCCAUGAGUCUCCUUCUCCUUAGUUCUUCUACUGGGUAAUAUUCCUAACAUGCAUGAUAACAUCAAAUACAUAUUGCCUGUAAACUGUAAUAAUGCCAAUCUGCGAAAAAACAGUUUUACAGAGUCCAUUCUUUUUAGAUUCAUAAUUAUUAUUCUUAGUGUUUUUUUCUGUUGAAUGAGAAUUCUAUGAAGAUUGCUCUUGGUCGCGGCUCCGUAAUAAUGCAAUAGGCCAGAUGGGAGUGUAUUAGUGAGUGAUAGAGCGUUUUCAUCGUUAGAAGACUGCAUUCAUUCGACAUUAUUUGUCUUGAAGCCUGGAUCUGUUGACAGCCCGGACUCGCAGUUGCUCCUUGUCUUAUUCUUGUCCUUUAAGAAGGCAAACAAAUUAUAAAACGGUCAUUUUGGGUCCGCAUCUGCUCCCGCGCCACUUUUUGCCUUUUUAGAGUUUCGUUGAUAUUGGCCAAUUAGGAUUCUCAUUUUUUUACUUCUAACCUCUCCACAUCCAUUGCAACCGAAAUUUCAUUCCACGCGUCCUGUUUUUUAUUUCUAUUUUUUAAAUCAGCACUUUUAGCGUCCCAUAGCGCAGGGUAAUCCCUCAAUAGUUCAACUAACUUUAUAAUAUUGUCUUUAUUCCAGUCAAAUUCACUCUCUAUUUUUGCACAAUAAUAUAAUUAUAAAUCAGAAAGAAAUGCUUGUAAUGCGCAGUAGCCUACUAGCACUCUGACAACAAAUGAGUACAGUAUAUCAGGUGAUCAGGUGUAAAUCAUCCAGGAGGCACCAAACAGCUGCAAACAGCAGUAAACAGCUGCGGCAGCCUUCCUUCAAGGACACAUGUAGCUCUAAU